rnacentral:misc_RNA from 1 species
AAGUCGUAACAAGGUUUCCGUAGGUGAACCUGCGGAAGGAUCAUUACUGAAGCAUUCGAAAUGGUUGUUGCUGCCUUGAAAAAGGAUUGUGCACGCCUUUCAAUCUUCCACUUACCCACCUGUGCACCUUUCAUAGACUGUAAAUUACAUCUCACUGAAAAUGUGGACCUGAGAGUUAGUGAAUAACUUACUUUCAACUUAUUUACAGUUUAUGUUUUCAUAUACACUAUUUGAAAUAUAAUGAAUGUAUUACUAUGGGUUUACCCAUAAUAAAUGAAAUACAACUUUCAGCAACGGAUCUCUUGGCUCUC